rnacentral:misc_RNA from 1 species
CCCAAUUUAUUAAAUCUAUCUAAAAAUCUCAAGAAAAUUUAUAAACAUACAUUUUCAGCCAUUAAACGUGUUAAAUUGAAAUAGAAAUUUUCAUAAAAACUAAUAUUUUCGUUUUUCAAAGCUUUGAGAGUAGCCUUACUGCCUAACUGUCAUCUGCGAAAACUAGCUUUAUUCUUGCGUUUCUCCUCCCCCUCCUUUAUUAAAAAGAAACUUUAUUCGUGUGAAAGAAAUUGAAAUUAAAGCAUACGGCUUGAGCCUAGCUAAAUUAAUGGCUAAGGCAUUGAAUUAAUAUUUUAAUAUAUAUUUCUUCUAAACAAUUUAACAUAUAAUUGAAAGUAUUUAUAGUAUAAAAGAUUUAAAAAAUACAAAUUUUAACAUUAAUGAUUAAAAUGGAAAAAAUAAAAUAAAAUAAUUCCAUUUUCGCCUUUAUGUUUGGGGAAGCAGACACUACAAGCUAAGUAUACGUAAAAUGAUGUUUAAUAACCAUAAAUUCCUUUGUUUAUUUAAUUUUCCCCAACAACCAAAUAAGGUUAUAAGCUUCUCGAUCUACAUAUCUUGCAAGAAAUUAAAGAAGAAGAAGGCUUACAAAUUUUGUCUCCGACCCUGAAAGUUUUGCCGGAGGACCAUGAAGCCACAUCAGUUGAAGGGUCCCAGCCACGAUCCUCUCCAACCACAUGGUGCACCUGGGCUCCAACCCAUUUCCCACCGAGGCUCAUUGAAACUACUAAAACCAAAGCCACCCAUGUUUUCGCUGCCGCCAUUAUCACAGCAGAACAAGAAGCUUUCUUUUCGCCGAGUAGGAAAAUAGGCGACAAUGAAGCUAAAGAAGAAGGCCUCUCUUUCUGGUGG